rnacentral:rRNA from 1 species
GUGCCAGCCGCCGCGGUAACACGUAGGGGGCGAGCGUUGUUCGGAAUUACUGGGCGUAAAGGGCAUGUAGGCGGCUUGGUAAGCCUGGCGUGAAAGACUGCAGCUUAACUGUAGGGAUGCGUUGGGAACUGCUUAGCUUGAGUUACGGAGAGGGAGCUGGAAUUCCUGGUGUAGGGGUGAAAUCUGUAGAUAUCAGGAAGAACACCGAUGGCGAAGGCAAGCUUCUGGUCGAUAACUGACGCUGAGGUGCGAAAGUGUGGGGAUCAAACAGGAUUAGAUACCCUGGUAGUCCACACUGUAAACGAUGUGCACAAGGUGCUAAAACAAUAGUUUCAGUGCCGGAGCGAACGCGGUAAGUGCACCGCCUGGGGAGUAUGCUCGCAAGGGUGAAACUUAAAGGAAUUGACGG